GGGCCCGCACAAGCGGUGGAGCAUGUGGUUUAAUUCGAUGCAACGCGAAGAACCUUACCAGGGCUUGACAUACUGCGAAUCUCCUUGAAAGGGGAGAGUGCCUUAGGGAAUGCAGAUACAGGUGGUGCAUGGCUGUCGUCAGCUCGUGUCGUGAGAUGUUGGGUUAAGUCCCGCAACGAGCGCAACCCUUGUUUUUAGUUACCAAUUCGUUGGGUUUCUAGAAAGACUGCCGGUGACAAACCGGAGGAAGGUGAGGAUGACGUCAAGUCAGCAUGCCCCUUAUGUCCUGGGCUACACACGUGCUACAAUGGUUAGGACAAAGAGUCGCAAGUUUGCAAAAACAAGCUAAUCUCGUAAACCUUGCCUAAGUUCAGAUUGUAGGCUGCAACUCGCCUACAUG
rnacentral:rRNA from 1 species